AGUCUAAGCAUACCUGUCUGACCGAUAGCGUACCAGUACCGUGAGGGAAAGGUGAAAAGCACCCCGGGAGGGGAGUGAAAGAGUUCCUGAAACCGUGCGCCUACAAUCCGUCGGAGCCCUUUUGUGGGGUGACGGCGUGCCUAUCGAAAAAUGAGUCUGCGAGUCAGUGGCAUGUGGCGAGCAUAACCCGUGUGGGGUAUGCGUAGCGAAGGCGAGUCUUAAAAGGCGUUUGAGUCGCGUGUCCUGGACCCGAAGCGGGAUGAUCUAGCCCUGAGCAGGUUGAAGCGCGGGUAAGACCGCGUGGAGGACCGAACCCACCUGGGUUGAAAACCGGGGGGAUGACUUGGGGCUAGGGGUGAAAGGCCAAUCAAAUUCCGUGAUAGCUGGUUCUCUCCGAAAUGCAUUUGGGUGCAGCGUCGGGUCAUUACGUCCCGGGGGUAGAGCUACUGGAUGCUUGCGGGCCCGUAUCGGGUACCAACAGCAACCAAACUCCGAAUACCGGUGACGCGUAUCCCGGCAGUGAGUCGGCGGGGGAUAAGCUUCGUCGUCGAAAGGGAAACAGCCCAGACCGUCGUCUAAGGUCCCGAAGCGUGUGCUAAGUGGGAAAGGAUGUGGAGUCGCAUAGACAGCCAGGAGGUUGGCUCAGAAGCAGCCAUCCUUGAAAGAGUGCGUAACAGCUCACUGGUCUAGUGGUUCCGCGCCGACAAUGUAGCGGGGCUCAAGCACACCACCGAAGACGCGGCAGUAUUUUGUACUGGGUAGGAGAGCGUCCCAUGAGGGGCGAAGCGGCCGUGUGAACGCGCCGUGGACUUCAUGGGAGUGAGAAUGCAGACAUGAGUAGCGAGAGACGGGUGAAGAUCCCGUCCGCUGGAUGACCAAGGGUUCCAGGGCCACGUUCAUCGUCCCUGGGUGAGUCGGGUCCUAAGGCGAGGCCGACAGGCGUAGUCGAAUGGAUGAACGGGUCGAUAUUCCCGUACCGGCUUUCAGCCGCCAAAACCGAGGCUUGGAGUACUAACCUCCGGGUCCGGGCUUACUGCUCCUUCGGGGGCGGGAUGCCCUGGCCUGUUGGGACCGAUCCUUGUAGUAGGUCAGCGCAGGAGUGACGCAGAAGGGUAGCCGGCCGCGGAGGUGGUCUUCCGUGGUCAAGCACGCAGGGCGUGGGACAGGCAAAUCCGUCCCGCAUGGGUCCGAGGUGCGAUGAUGGGGGCCUUAUGGCCCGAUAUCCGGUGAUCCCGGCUGCCGAGAAAAGCUUCGGCGUCAGGCUCGAAGCCGCCCGUACCCCAAACCGACACUGGUGGUCAGGUAGAGAAUACCAAAGCGAUCGAGCGAAUCCUGGUCAAGGAACUCGGCAAAUCACUCCCGUUCCUUCGGUUUAAGGGAGACCCCCGAUGGUGAACACACUUGCUGUGGGAGCUUUUGGGGGUGGCACAGACCAGGGGGUAGCGACUGUUUACCAAAAACACAGGUGCAUGCGAAGGCGCAAGCCGCUGUAUAUGCACUGACGCCUGCCCGGUGCCGGAAGGUUAAGAGGAUCCGUCAGCCUUCGGGUGAAGCGGUGAAUUCAAGCCCCGGUAAACGGCGGUGGUAACUAUAACCAUCCUAAGGUAGCGAAAUUCCUUGUCGGGUAAGUUCCGACC
rnacentral:rRNA from 1 species